rnacentral:rRNA from 1 species
GCANCNUACGCUNUGNGNCAUNCUCUAANACAUGCAAGUCGAACGAUGAAGCCCUUCGGGGUGGAUUAGUGGCGAACGGGUGAGUAACACGUGGGCAAUCUGCCCUUCACUCUGGGACAAGCCCUGGAAACGGGGUCUAAUACCGGAUAANACUCCUGCCUGCAUGGGCGGGGGUUGAAAGCUCCGGCGGUGAAGGAUGAGCCCGCGGCCUAUCAGCUUGUUGGUGGGGUAAUGGCCCACCAAGGCGACGACGGGUAGCCGGCCUGAGAGGGCGACCGGCCACACUGGGACUGAGACACGGCCCAGACUCCUACGGGAGGCAGCAGUGGGGAAUAUUGCACAAUGGGCGAAAGCCUGAUGCAGCGACGCCGCGUGAGGGAUGACGGCCUUCGGGUUGUAAACCUCUUUCAGCAGGGAAGAAGCGAAAGUGACGGUACCUGCAGAAGAAGCGCCGGCUAACUACGUGCCAGCAGCCGCGGUAAUACGUAGGGCGCAAGCGUUGUCCGGAAUUAUUGGGCGUAAAGAGCUCGUAGGCGGCUUGUCACGUCGGAUGUGAAAGCCCGAGGCUUAACCUCGGGUCUGCAUUCGAUACGGGCUAGCUAGAGUGUGGUAGGGGAGAUCGGAAUUCCUGGUGUAGCGGUGAAAUGCGCAGAUAUCAGGAGGAACACCGGUGGCGAAGGCGGAUCUCUGGGCCAUUACUGACGCUGAGGAGCGAAANCGUGGGGAGCGAACAGGAUUAGAUNCCCUGGUAGUCCACGCCGUAAACGUUGGGAACUAGGUGNUGGCGACNUUCCACGUNGUCGGNGCCCNANCUNACGCAUNANUUNCCCNCCUGGGGNAUNCNGCCNCAGGGNUAAACUCAANGNANUGACGGGGGCCCCCNNAACNGCGGNACAUGNGGNUUAUUUNACCCACCCNAAAAACNUNCCAGGGNUGNNNUNNCCNGNAAAU